rnacentral:SRP_RNA from 1 species
GCUGGGCAUGGUGGCUCAUGCCUGUAAUCCCAGCACUUUGGGAGCCGAGGUGGGUGGGUCACUUGAGGCCAGGAGCUCGAGACCAGCCUGGCCAAUGUGGUGAAAACCCAUCUCUA